GUUCGACAAAGGCAAACUUAAUGAAAGUUAAGGACGCAAAGCUGUUGAUCUAAGGGUGCUUUACCUAUGAUUGCAAGGCCGCCAAC
rnacentral:ncRNA from 1 species